UAUGGAGUACAUUUAAGUGAGGCAAAGGAAGUGUCCUUUAAUAAAACUCAAGCAAACAGGGUGUUUGUCUUGUAACCUGUCAGAGGAAACAACA
rnacentral:snoRNA from 1 species